GACGAACGCUGGCGGCGUGCUUAACACAUGCAAGUCGAACGGGCCUGUCUUCUUUUUUGGGGGGUGGGUUGAGUGGCGAACGGGUGAGUAUCACGUGAGUAACCUGCCCUUCGGUCCUGGAUAACCGCUUGAAAGGGCGGCUAAUACGGGGUGGUCCGGUUGGUCCGCAUGGGCUGGUCGGGAUAGAUUCACUGUUUUUGGUGUUUCGGCGGGGGAUGGGCUCGCGGCCUAUCAGCUUGUUGGUGGGGUGAUGGCCUACCAAGGCGGUGACGGGUAGCCGGCCUGAGAGGGUGGGCGGCCACACUGGGACUGAGAUACGGCCCAGACUCCUGCGGGAGGCAGCAGUGGGGGGUAUUGCACAAGGGGCGGAAGCCUGAUGCAGCGACGUCGCGUGAGGGAGGGAGGCCUUCGGGUUGUGAACCUCUGUUUCCGGUGGUGAAGGCCCUGUCCGUGUGGUGGGGUUGACGGUAGCCGGGGAUGAAGCGCCGGCUAACUACGUG
rnacentral:rRNA from 1 species